rnacentral:rRNA from 1 species
AAGAGUUUGAUCCUGGCUCAGGAUUAACGCUGGCGGCGUGCCUAAUACAUGCAAGUCGAACGGAAACCUUCGGGUUUUAGUGGCGAACGGGUGAGUAACACGUAAGCAACCUACCCUAAAGACGAGGAUAACCAUUGGAAACAGUGGCUAAGACUGGAUAGGAAGAUAAAAGGCAUCUUGUAUCUUUUAAAAGACCUAGUUAAUAGGUAUGCUUUAGGAGGGGCUUGCGCCAUAUUAGUUAGUUGGUAGGGUAAUGGCCUACCAAGACGAUGAUGUGUAGCUGGACUGAGAGGUUGAACAGCCACAUUGGGACUGAGACACGGCCCAAACUCCUACGGGAGGCAGCAGUAGGGAAUUUUCGGCAAUGGAGGAAACUCUGACCGAGCAACGCCGCGUGAAUGACGAAGUACUUCGGUAUGUAAAGUUCUUUUAUCGAGGAAGAAAAGCAAAUGGCGAACCAUUUGUUUGCCGGUACUUGAUGAAUAAGCCCCGGCUAAUUAUGUGCCAGCAGCCGCGGUAAGACAUAAGGGGCAAGUGUUAUCCGGAAUUAUUGGGCGUAAAGGGUGCGUAGGCGGUCUAGUAAGUCAGUGGUGUAAUGGCAACGCUUAACGUUGUCCGGCUAUUGAAACUGCUAAACUUGAGUUAGAUAGAGGCGAGUGGAAUUCCAUGUGUAGCGGUAAAAUGCGUAAAUAUAUGGAGGAACACCAGAGGCGUAGGCGGCUCGCUGGGUCUUAACUGACGCUGAGGCACGAAAGCGUGGGGAGCAAACAGGAUUAGAUACCCUGGUAGUCCACGCCGUAAACGAUGAGUACUAAGUGUCGGGUUAAACCGGUACUGAAGUUAACACAUUAAGUACUCCGCCUGAGUAGUACGUACGCAAGUAUGAAACUUAAAGGAAUUGACGGGACUCCGCACAAGCGGUGGAUCAUGUUGUUUAAUUCGAAGAUACCCGAAAAACCUUACCAGGUCUUGACAUGUUUUUGCAAAAUGAUAGUAAUAUCGUGGAGGUUACCAGAAACACAGGUGGUGCAUGGUUGUCGUCAGCUCGUGUCGUGAGAUGUUAGGUUAAGUCCUAAAACGAGCGAAACCCUUAUCGUUAGUUGCCAGCACGUUAUGGUGGGGACUUUAACGAGACUGCCAAUGAUAAAUUGGAGGAAGGUGAGGAUCACGUCAAAUCAGCAUGCCCCUUAUGACCUGGGCUACAAACGUGAUACAAUGGCUGUUACAAAGGGUAGCUGAAACGCAAGUUCUUGGCCAAUCCCCAAAAACAGUCCCAGUCCGGAUUGAAGUCUGCAACUCGACUUCAUGAAGUUGGAAUCGCUAGUAAUCGCGAAUCAGCAUGUCGCGGUGAAUACGUUCUCGGGGUUUGUACACACCGCCCGUCAAACCACGAAAGUUGGCAAUACCCCAAAACGGUAGCCUAACUCGUUUAUUCGAGAGGGCGCCGUCUAAGGUAGGGUCGAUGAUUGGGGUUAAGUCGUAACAAGGUAUCCCUACCGGAAGGUGGGGAUGGAUCACCUCCUUUCUAAGGAAACCAAUAAAAUCAAUCAUCUUCAGUUUUGAAAGACUUAGGCAACUAAGUUUUUCUUCGUGACUUCACGAAGGGCCUAUAGCUCAGUUGGUUAGAGCACACGCCUGAUAAGCGUGAGGUCGGUGGUUCAAGUCCAUUUAGGCCCACCAGAGUUAUAGGUUUCGUAAGAACACAAAUUCUUUGAAAAUUAGGUAAAUAAUAGUUAUUUAUCCGGAACAUUAAAGGAAAUAAGAGCGCACAGUGGAUGCCUAGGCACCAAGAGCCGAUGAAGGACG